GCGCGCGGCUAUUUAAGGGCGCGGCGUUGUAUCGCGGGGCACCAUUCUCGCCGACGACGCCGCUACGUGCCCGAGGAAUACCCGCACGAGAGAGAGAGCAAGAGCGAGCGAGAGCAAGAGCCUGCGUCUUUGUGCCGCCUGUGGGUAGACUUUAUUUGUAAAAGAUGGAGAACGUCAACCUCGUUAUGACUUAUGUUAUUCUCAUAUCGUUUCUAGUGGUGUUAUAUAUGUUUUUGGAAGGUCUAAUAUUCUAAGAAGAACGUAUCCAUGUAGGGUAUCUCUUACCCCUAUGAAACCCUCCCUUUACCCCUCCCCCAUUUCCUAACCCUCCCUCCCCCUCCCCCUUGUAAACUAUGUAGUGAUUCCUAACCUCAAUAACGUAAUGUAAGUCUUUUUUUAUAUACAUUUUAAGAAAUCAUCUCUCCAGCGUAUUUUUUCACUCGUCCCCACCUAUUUUGGUUUUUCGUUCCUUUGUUUUCCCUCAAAAUCUCAUCUUAAACAGAAACUCUCCCUUUCCCUUCUCCAGCGACCGCACCCGUUCUUCUCCCUCCUUCAACACCCUUCCCCACCUUGAAGCGCCUCCCGCCUGCCUUCCCUCCCUCGCAAGCGGUGUUGGAGGCAAGUGUUCUUCGCCGCCACGAUGGAGAACCAGUCCCUCGCCAGCACCUACUUCGUCCUCCUCGCCUGCCUGGCCGUGCUCUACGUCGUUCUCGAAGUGAUGUGAGCGCUGUGUCCGAAAGAGGAAGAGAAAGGAAGAUAAAUAAAGUGAUACACGCAGGGGAAGGGAAAAAAACGGACAUAAAAGCGAAGAGAAAAGGAUAGCUGUGAAGUUAUUUUCGAGUAAGGAGAAUCCGGAACGUCAUGUUUAGCAGUGAGAACAGGUCCCUUGUUUUCACGUACGGUAUCCUGUUGGCCUUCUUAGUGGUUUUGUAUCUCUUCCUUCAGGGGGCCUUUUAGAGACGAAGAGCCUUAGGAAGUGGGAAAGGUGUAAGACAAGAGGAAUAAAAAGUAUUAAGAAGGAAGUCACCCAAAAGUAAACAAAGAUGGAGAACGCAAACCUGGGCUACACGUAUGCCAUUCUGCUGACCUUCCUCGUCGUGCUGUACCUGGUCCUGGACAGCGCCUUCUUCUAAGCCGUUCCCUCAGCGACGCGGAGAUCGACUCGCCCUUGAACAACGAUGGAGGAGAACAAGAGCCUCGCCUUCACUUACCUUAUCUUGGUGACCUUCCUGGUGGCCCUGUAUGUGAUCCUCGAAGGCACCAUAUUCUAGGGCCCACCAUGCCCAAGGACAGCGACAGUGUGAGCCUGUUCCACAACUGCAUGGUGCUCGUCGGUCUCCUUGUGGCGCUCUAUCUGUUCGUAGAGAGUUCCGGAAGUUAACAGUUGUCUUAUAAAUAGAAGAUCAACGACGCAGGCGACAGACCUCGACCAAAACUGAGGAAGUAGGUCUCGCUGUGCCGGGUGCCGAGGAUCAAAAUCUCUUCCACGCUUAUCUUACCUUUAUGGCUUUCCUACCUGCCUUUUACAUCUCGUACGAAGCCUAGCACUUCUAGAUAUAUAAUUAUAUAAAGUAUAGGAACGAGCACCAACAAGGGAAUACGUCGAGUUUCUUGCUUAAGAUCGUUUCAUCAGCUGCUUGGCAUGGCCGCUGUCGAGAAGCAGCUGUUUGGUUGUACAUACGCCGUGCUGCUGUGCUUCCUUCUAGUGGUGUAUGCCGUAUUCCAGUCUUAGACCUACACCGUAACGGCCCAUAGGCCUAGAAGGACGCCGAAACCCGCUUUAAGAAGCGCGGCGUUCUUUUGGGCUUUCGGAGAAACCCCGAGCUUCAUCCCCAAUACGCUGGAGAAACCCUCGCCCUCAACCUCGCCUAUCUCACACAACCCUUCACACACCCUGUCACAACUCCUCCCUUUGAGAAGGUAAUAUAUAUCAAGCAAGCGCUGUUGCUCACUUCCGUUCGCAACCGUUGGCAGACAUUACUCAUAGUGCUCUCCUGACCAACGUCACGGGCAAGGUGUGGAUAGCGAUUCAAGGACGUCGGCCUCCACCUGCACACGCUAAGAAAGGACACUGUUCUUUUGACUGCUCAGGAAAUUCACUCGCUUUUUCGAUAUAAGUAGGUCCUGCAUCUGACAAGAUCAAGUUUAAGAUUGCACUGACCCAGCUGCCUUAUCGCCCGAACUGCGGUCCUAGAAAGCUCUCGCGGUCGACUUCUCUCGCCGGUACCGGAAGCGACUCAAGAUGGACCUGUACCUCCUGUCGCCGCCCUUCCUCAAGAAGAUGAUUCGACGGCCGUCCUCUGCAGGCCAGGAAGAGACUUCUAUACUCCAGGAGGACGUACUGGCCGUUGCGGAGGGACCUCAGCCUUUCGCCGAAAGCCCUCUCGACGGAGACUUCGAAGGAAACGUCGACAAGGCGGGGGCGCGGCUCGGGCGGCGGCGGUCCAGCCUCGAUCGGAUGCUGCGCCAGCACGCCUACAUCAUCAUCUGUGCCCUCUGCUAUGCUUGUAACACGUUGCCGUCACACAUGACCUGAAGUUCAGGAGCGUGAAGCCCCCACACACCCCGCGCCCACGUCUGGAGGGUGAGGGGGACCUUCUGAGCCUUGCAGUUAUCAGAUCAUUCAGGAUAUAAGGAUUAGUGUGGCAUCAAUCCUGAAUUUCAGGGCCAUCGUGUGACCCCCUCCAAGCCCUAUCGGGGGGCUGUGUCUCACGAGUCGAGUGCGAAACUCAAAGAUCAGUAAACGGCAGCGCACUCUGUGCUGUUCCUAAGCCUGGCUGUUAUAGAGAGUAGUCCCGUCGCAUUAUAGUCUUGAAAGAGCAUCUCUCAAAGAGCAAAAAAAUAAAAAAAUAAAAAAAAUAAAUGUAUUUAGUUGUAGAUCGCUCAGUUUUUGGUCAGUUAAGUAGUUUAAUCGAAGGUGUCUGGUUGUAACAACGGUAGUUAUAGCGUAGUCCCUCAUCGCGGUUCGUUACUCGUUACUCGCGUGAUCUUUCAAGUAACAAGUAAUUUUAUGUCUUUAAGUAGAUACCAAGACAGGUGCAGUGGAGAUGAUAUCGGUCCUCCCUCCUCCUCUCUCGGAAGCACCUGUUGUUAAGUUGAUAAAUGUAUGUUUAUAUACAUAUGUACAUACACACAUAGAGACAUACAUACAUGGAUUUAUAUAAUAUAUAUAUAUUAUAUUUUAUAUAUAUAUUAUAUUUAUAUAUAUAUGUAUAUAUAUAUAUAUAUAUAUAUAUAGUGUGUGUGUGUGUGUGUGUGUGUGUGUGUGUGUGUGUUCGAAUGUAUAUAUACAUACACACGUUUUUGAAGACUGUAGACUAUCUUUAACUGAGCCUCAUGACGUCACAGCAAUGGACGUUCGAUCUUUGUUCAUUUAUUUUUUUUUCUCGACAUAGCUCUUCUUAAGAUGUAAUGUUACUAACGUGCGCAUUACUUUGUUUUCAAAUUUCUAGUCUUUAUUUUUUUUUGGCUGUAGACGCACUUCCUUCGGCCUGCCCCCAAGGAGUGCAAUAGACAUCACUAACGUCUUGACGAAACGAGACAUAAGAACCAUGGUUAUAUUGUUCACGUGUAUUAUUAUCAUCAUUUACUUCGCUAUUUGUUGUUUUUUUUUAUCAGUCGGUCGCCACGGUUUGAAAUCUGAAAUAUCUGAAUAACAUUGAUUAGAUUUUGAAAUUGAUAUGAUAUGUUAUUUUUUUAUGAUAUAGUUACAACGAUCCCAAAUUUCUGUCUUGUUAUCAUUGGCUAAGCGACUACGAGUGGGUGACAGUGCAAUAUGUAUAAACGGUGGUAGUUAUAGCGACUUUUUAUAUGUAUUCAGAGUAAAUAAUUUAUUAAUGA